rnacentral:piRNA from 1 species
UGACAGCUUGCUUACUCUCAUUA